rnacentral:rRNA from 1 species
AACGAACGCUGGCGGCAGGCCUAACACAUGCAAGUCGAACGCACCGCAAGGUGAGUGGCGCACGGGUGAGUAACACGUGGGAAUGUAUCCUUUGGUUCGGAAUAACGUCUGGAAACGGACGCUAAUACCGGAUGAGCCCGUAGGGGGAAAGAUUUAUCGCCGAAGGAGCAGAACGCGUCUGAUUAGGUAGGUGGUGGGGUAAAGGCGUACCAAGCCGACGAUCAGUAGCUGGUCUGAGAGGAUGAUCAGCCACAGUGGCACGGAGACACGGCCCAGACUCAUACGGAAGGCAGCAGUUGGGAACAUGGGACAAUGGGCGCAAGCCUGUUCCAGCCAUGCAGCGUGAGUGAUGAAGGCCUUCGGGUUGUAAAACUCUUCCGCACACGACGAUGAUGACGGUAGUGUGAGAAGAAGCCCUGGCUAACUUCGUGCCAGCCGCCGCCGUAAUAC